CUUUUGGGUGUGACUGCGUACCUUUUGUAUAAUGGGUCAGCGACUUAUAUUCUGUAGCAAGGUUAACCGAAUAGGGGAGCCGGAGGGAAACCGAGUCUUAAUUGGGCGUUAAGUUGCAGGGUAUAGACCCGAAACCCGGUGAUCUAGCCAUGGGCAGGUUGAAGGUUGGGUAACACUAACUGGAGGACCGAACCGACUAAUGUUGAAAAAUUAGCGGAUGACCUGUGGCUGGGGGUGAAAGGCCAAUCAAACCGGGAGAUAGCUGGUUCUCCCCGAAAGCUAUUUAGGUAGCGCCUCGUGAAUUCAUCUCCGGGGGUAGAGCACUGUUUCGGCUAGGGGGCCAUCCCGGCUUACCAACCCGAUGCAAACUGCGAAUACCGGAGAAUGUUAUCACGGGAGACACACGGCGGGUGCUAACGUCCGUCGUGAAGAGGGAAACAACCCAGACCGCCAGCUAAGGUCCCAAAGUCAUGGUUAAGUGGGAAACGAUGUGGGAAGGCACAGACAGCCAGGAUGUUGGCUUAGAAGCAGCCAUCAUUUAAAGAAAGCGUAAUAGCUCACUGGUCGAGUCGGCCUGCGCGGAAGAUGUAACGGGGCUAAACCAUGCACCGAAGCUGCGGCAGCGACACUCAGGUGUUGUUGGGUAGGGGAGCGUUCUGUAAGCCUGCGAAGGUGGCCUGUGAGGGUUGCUGGAGGUAUCAGAAGUGCGAAUGCUGACAUAAGUAACGAUAAAGCGGGUGAAAAGCCCGCUCGCCGGAAGACCAAGGGUUCCUGUCCAACGUUAAUCGGGGCAGGGUGAGUCGACCCCUAAGGCGAGGCCGAAAGGCGUAGUCGAUGGGAAACGGGUUAAUAUUCCCGUACUUGGUGUUACUGCGAAGGGGGGACGGAGAAGGCUAUGUUGGCCGGGCGACGGUUGUCCCGGUUUAAGCGUGUAGGCUGGUUUUCCAGGCAAAUCCGGAAAAUCAAGGCUGAGGCGUGACGACGAGGCACUACGGUGCUGAAGCAACAAAUGCCCUGCUUCCAGGAAAAGCCUCUAAGCAUCAGGUAACAUCAAAUCGUACCCCAAACCGACACAGGUGGUCAGGUAGAGAAUACCAAGGCGCUUGAGAGAACUCGGGUGAAGGAACUAGGCAAAAUGGUGCCGUAACUUCGGGAGAAGGCACGCUGACACGUAGGUGAAGUGAUUUACUCAUGGAGCUGAAGUCAGUCGAAGAUACCAGCUGGCUGCAACUGUUUAUUAAAAACACAGCACUGUGCAAACACGAAAGUGGACGUAUACGGUGUGACGCCUGCCCGGUGCCGGAAGGUUAAUUGAUGGGGUCAGCGCAAGCGAAGCUCCUGAUCGAAGCCCCGGUAAACGGCGGCCGUAACUAUAACGGUCCUAAGGUAGCGAAAUUCCUUGUCGGGUAAGUUCCGACCUGCACGAAUGGCGUAAUGAUGGCCAGGCUGUCUCCACCCGAGACUCAGUGAAAUUGAACUCGCUGUGAAGAUGCAGUGUACCCGCGGCAAGACGGAAAGACCCCGUGAACCUUUACUAUAGCUUGACACUGAACAUUGAGCCUUGAUGUGUAG
rnacentral:rRNA from 1 species